GCCACACGUGAUGGCUCAUGCCUAUAGUCCCGGCUCCUUGGGAGGCUGCAGCAGGAGGAUUGCCUGAGUCCAAGAGUUCUGGCCUAUAGUGCAUUAUGCUAAUCUGGUGUCUACACUAAGUUUGGCAUCAAUAUGGUGACCUUCUGGGAGCAGAGAACCAUCAGGUUGCUUAGGGAGGGAUGAACCAGCUCAGGUCAGAAAUAGAGCAGGUCAGCCAGGUGUGGUGGCUCACACCUAUACUUUCAGCAAUUUGGGAGACUGAGAUGGGUGAAUUGCUUGAGCUUAGGAGUUUGAGACCAGUCCGGGCAACAUGGUGAAACCUCGUCUCUA
rfam:Gorilla gorilla gorilla genomic chromosome, chr5, whole genome shotgun sequence